UACGACCAUUUAACGAUGAAUCAUUAGUUCUCGUAUGAUCACCGAAGUUAAGCAACGUCGAGCCGAGUCAGUACCUAGACGGGUGACUGCUUGAGAAUACCAAUGUU